AUCGAACCAUCUAGUAGCUGGUUCCCUCCGAAGUUUCCCUCAGGAUAGCUGGAGCUCGUACGGACUAGUUUUAUCAGGUAAAGCGAAUGAUUAGAGGCCUUGGGGCUGAAACAGCCUUAACCUAUUCUCAAACUUUAAAUGGGUAAGAUGCCCUUGUUGCUUGAAUUUUCAUGAACUUGCGGCGCGCGUCGAAUACCUGAGCUCCAAGUGGGCCAUUUUUGGUAAGCAGAACUGGCGAUGCGGGAUGAACCGAACGUGAGGUUAAGGUGCCGGAAUGCACGCUCAUUUAGAUCCCACAAAAGGUGUUGGUUGAUCCAGACAGCAGGACGGUGGCCAUGGAAGUCGGAACCCGCUAAGAAGUGUGUAACAACUUACCUGCCGAAUCAACUAGCCCUGAAAAUGGAUGGCGCUGAAGCGUGCUACCCAUACCUCACCGCCAUGUGGCAGGCGACGCCUUGGCGAGUAGGAGGGCGCGGAGGUCAGCGCGG
rnacentral:rRNA from 1 species